GAUGAAGAACGUAGCAAAAUGCGAUAAGUAAUGUGAAUUGCAGAAUUCAGUGAAUCAUCGAAUCUUUGAACGCACAUUGCGCCCGCUGGUAUUCCGGCUGGCAUGCCUGUUCGAGCGUCAUUUCAACCCUCAAGCCCCCGGGUUUGGUGUUGGGGAUCGGCUCUGCCCUUCUGGGCGGUGCCGCCCCCGAAAUACAUUGGCGGUCUCGCUGCAGCCUCCAUUGCGUAGUAGCUAACACCUCGCAACUGGAACGCGGCGCGGCCAUGCCGUAAAACCCCAACUUCUGAAUGUUGACCUCGGAUCAGGUAGGAAUACCCGCUGAACUUAAGCAUAUCAAUAAGCGGAGGA
rnacentral:misc_RNA from 1 species